GAUUGAACGCUGGCGGCAUGCCUUACACAUGCAAGUCGAACGGCAGCACGGGUGCUUGCACCUGGUGGCGAGUGGCGAACGGGUGAGUAAUACAUCGGAACGUACCUUAUCGUGGGGGAUAACGCAGCGAAAGUUGCGCUAAUACCGCAUACGCCCUGAGGGGGAAAGCGGGGGACCGUAAGGCCUCGCGCGAUUAGAGCGGCCGAUGUCUGAUUAGCUUGUUGGUGAGGUAAAAGCUCACCAAGGCGAUGAUCAGUAGCUGGUCUGAGAGGACGAUCAGCCACACUGGGACUGAGACACGGCCCAGACUCCUACGGGAGGCAGCAGUGGGGAAUUUUGGACAAUGGGGGCAACCCUGAUCCAGCAAUGCCGCGUGAGUGAAGAAGGCCUUCGGGUUGUAAAGCUCUUUUGUCAGGGAAGAAACAGCAGCUCUAACACGGUCUGCGAAUGACGGUACCUGAAGAAUAAGCACCGGCUAACUACGUG
rnacentral:rRNA from 1 species